ACUUGGCUGGCUCAGUCGGUGGAGCAUGAGGCUCUUGGUCUUGGGGCUGUGGGUUCGAACCCCACAUUGGGUA
rnacentral:tRNA from 1 species